GAUGAACGCUGGCGGCGUGCCUAAUACAUGCAAGUCGAGCGGAUGGAUUAAGAGCUUGCUCUUAUGAAGUUAGCGGCGGACGGGUGAGUAACACGUGGGUAACCUGCCCAUAAGACUGGGAUAACUCCGGGAAACCGGGGCUAAUACCGGAUAACAUUUUGAACCGCGUGGUUCGAAAUUGAAAGGCGGCUUCGGCUGUCACUUAUGGAUGGACCCGCGUCGCAUUAGCUAGUUGGUGAGGUAACGGCUCACCAAGGGAACGAUGCGUAGCCGACCUGAGAGGGUGAUCGGCCAAGCUGGGACUGAGACACGGCCCAGACUCCUACGGGAGGCAGCAGUAGGGAAUCUUCCGCAAUGGACGAAAGUCUGACGGAGCAACGCCGCGUGAGUGAUGAAGGCUUUCGGGUCGUAAAACUCUGUUGUUAGGGAAGAACAAGUGCUAGUUGAAUAAGCUGGCACCUUGACGGUACCUAACCAGAAAGCCACGGCUAACUACGUGCCAGCCGCCGCAGUAA
rnacentral:rRNA from 1 species